UAAAAAAAGGUAAGCUACUAAGAGCGAAUGGUGGAUGCCUUGACUGGUAAAGGCGAUGAAGGACGUACUAGACUGCGAUAAGCUACGGGGAGCUGUCAAGAAGCUUUGAUCCGUAGAUUUCCGAAUGGGGCAACCCAAUGUAUAGAGAUAUACAUUACCUAUAUAGGAGCGAACGAGGGGAAUUGAAACAUCUUAGUACCCUCAGGAAAAGAAAUCAAUAGAGAUUGCGUCAGUAGCGGCGAGCGAAAGCGCAAGAGGGCAAACCCAGUGCUUGCACUGGGGGUUGUAGGACUGCAAUGUGCAAGAGGUAAGUUUAGCAGAACAUUCUGGAAAGUAUAACCAUAGAGGGUGAUAGUCCCGUAUGCGAAAAACAAACCUUAGCUAGCAGUAUCCUGAGUAGGGCGGGACACGAGGAAUCCUGUCUGAAUCCGGGUCGACCACGAUCCAACCCUAAAUACUAAUACCAGAUCGAUAGUGCACAAGUACCGUGAGGGAAAGGUGAAAAGAACUGAGGUGAUCAGAGUGAAAUAGAACCUGAAACCAUUUGCUUACAAUCAUUCAGAGCCCUAUGUAGCAAUACAGGGUGAUGGACUGCCUUUUGCAUAAUGAGCCUGCGAGUUGUGGUGUCUGGCAAGGUUAAGCAAACGCGAAGCCGUAGCGAAAGCGAGUCUGAAUAGGGCGCUUAGUCAGAUGCUGCAGACCCGAAACGAAGUGAUCUAUCCAUGAGCAAGUUGAAGCUAGUGUAAGAACUAGUGGAGGACUGAACCCAUAGGCGUUGAAAAGCCCCGGGAUGACUUGUGGAUAGGGGUGAAAGGCCAAUCAAACUUCGUGAUAGCUGGUUCUCUCCGAAAUAUAUUUAGGUAUAGCGUUGUGUCGUAAUAUAAGGGGGUAGAGCACUGAAUGGGCUAGGGCAUACACCAAUGUACCAAACCCUAUCAAACUCCGAAUACCUUAUAUGUAAUCACAGCAGUCAGGCGGCGAGUGAUAAAAUCCGUCGUCAAGAGGGAAACAACCCAGACUACCAGCUAAGGUCCCUAAAUCUUACUUAAGUGGAAAACGAUGUGAAGUUACUUAAACAACCAGGAGGUUGGCUUAGAAGCAGCCAUCCUUUAAAGAAAGCGUAAUAGCUCACUGGUCUAGUGAUUUUGCGCGGAAAAUAUAACGGGGCUAAAGUAAGUACCGAAGCUGUAGACUUGCACACAACUUAGAUUAUUUAAGUUUAGAAUAUGAGAAACUAAGUUAUAUGUUUAGUUAUAUUUUUACUGAUUUUUAUAGAGUAAAGAUAGAAAUAAAACUUAGUAAAAUCAGUAAAAAUAUUCUUAGACUAAAGUUAAGUAGUUUAAGUUGUGUGCAAGUGGUAGGAGAGCGUUCUAUUUGCGUCGAAGGUAUACCGGUAAGGAGUGCUGGAGCGAAUAGAAGUGAGCAUGCAGGCAUGAGUAGCGAUAAUUAAUGUGAGAAUCAUUAACGCCGUAAACCCAAGGUUUCCUACGCGAUGCUCGUCAUCGUAGGGUUAGUCGGGUCCUAAGUCGAGUCCGAAAGGGGUAGACGAUGGCAAAUUGGUUAAUAUUCCAAUACCAACAUUAGUGUGCGAUGGAAGGACGCUUAGGGCUAAGGGGGCUAGCGGAUGGAAGUGCUAGUCUAAGGUCGUAGGAGGUUAUACAGGCAAAUCCGUAUAACAAUACUCCGAGAACUGAAAGGCUUUUUGAAGUCUUCGGAUGGAUAGAAGAACCCCUGAUGCCGUCGAGCCAAGAAAAGUUUCUAAGUUUAGCUAAUGUUGCCCGUACCGUAAACCGACACAGGUGGGUGGGAUGAGUAUUCUAAGGCGCGUGGAAGAACUCUCUUUAAGGAACUCUGCAAAAUAGCACCGUAUCUUCGGUAUAAGGUGUGGUUAGCUUUGUAUUAGGAUUUACUCCGAAAGCAAGGAAACUUACAACAAAGAGUCCCUCCCGACUGUUUACCAAAAACACAGCACUCUGCUAACUCGUAAGAGGAUGUAUAGGGUGUGACGCCUGCCCGGUGCUCGAAGGUUAAUUGAUGGGGUUAGCAUUAGCGAAGCUCUUGAUCGAAGCCCGAGUAAACGGCGGCCGUAACUAUAACGGUCCUAAGGUAGCGAAAUUCCUUGUCGGUUAAAUACCGACCUGCAUGAAUGGCGUAACGAGAUGGGAGCUGUCUCAAAGAGGGAUCCAGUGAAAUUGUAGUGGAGGUGAAAAUUCCUCCUACCCGCGGCAAGACGGAAAGACCCCGUGGACCUUUACUACAGCUUGACACUGCUACUUGGAUAAGAAUGUGCAGGAUAGGUGGGAGGCUUUGAGUAUAUGACGCCAGUUGUAUAUGAGCCAUUGUUGAGAUACCACUCUUUCUUAUUUGGGUAGCUAACCAGCUUGAGUUAUCCUCAAGUGGGACAAUGUCUGGUGGGUAGUUUGACUGGGGCGGUCGCCUCCCAAAUAAUAACGGAGGCUUACAAAGGUUGGCUCAGAACGGUUGGAAAUCGUUCGUAGAGUAUAAAGGUAUAAGCCAGCUUAACUGCAAGACAUACAAGUCAAGCAGAGACGAAAGUCGGUCUUAGUGAUCCGGUGGUUCUGUGUGGAAGGGCCAUCGCUCAAAGGAUAAAAGGUACCCCGGGGAUAACAGGCUGAUCUCCCCCAAGAGCUCACAUCGACGGGGAGGUUUGGCACCUCGAUGUCGGCUCAUCGCAUCCUGGGGCUGGAGCAGGUCCCAAGGGUAUGGCUGUUCGCCAUUUAAAGCGGUACGCGAGCUGGGUUCAGAACGUCGUGAGACAGUUCGGUCCCUAUCUGCCGUGGGCGUAAGAAGAUUGAAGAGAUUUGACCCUAGUACGAGAGGACCGGGUUGAACAAACCACUGGUGUAGCUGUUGUUCUGCCAAGAGCAUCGCAGCGUAGCUAAGUUUGGAAAGGAUAAACGCUGAAAGCAUCUAAGCGUGAAGCCAACUCUAAGAUGAAUCUUCUCUAAGCUCUCUAGAAGACUACUAGUUUGAUAGGCUGGGUGUGUAAUGGAUGAAAGUCCUUUAGCUGACCAGUACUAAUAGAGCGUUUGGCUUAUCUUUAAUAAAGCAU
rnacentral:rRNA from 9 species